AGGGUAAAAAGAGGGAAAGAGAAAAACAAAGAGGGGAGAAAUCGGGCGAUUAUCGGCCCCUCGUCCAAAUAUUGUCGGAUCGAUGACGAUAUUUUAUUUGUUUUUAUUUGUAUUAUUU
rnacentral:ribozyme from 1 species